GUAUCUCAACGCCACUCGUUUGACAAGAUGAUUGUUUUAACCACUCACAUUCAUUAUAAAACCUUGUCAACCUUAUCAAAACAGUGGCAUUGAGCGCUAGCUCUCUUUCACUUUAUCUCUGACACUUCGCGUUUUUAACAGAUGGCAACCCUAAUUUGCGGCCAUUUUUUCCACAAGCAACCUUAUAUUAUUGUAAUAGAAAAGAAAUAACUUUAAUUUGUGAUAAAAAACAUGCAUCUACGCAGUGGCGUAGCGUGAGUGUCGGCCGCCCUCUUAUUUAGGUAUUUUAAUUUAUUGUAUACUAUACAUUACAUACAUUAAUUAUAGAGAACUUUUCGGCGAGAACAGUCAACGUUUAUUAAUACAAAAAUUCUUUUACUUUAACCAAUUAGAUACAUUGAUAUAACUUAGGUACCUAUCACUUAAGAUUAGGUACACCUUGACGAUCGACAAAAUUAAAUAAAAUCAAUUUUUAAUUAGAACUAGAACGAUACUAUAAUGUUAUAUUUUAAUUUUUAUUGAAAAGUAAUAUGAGUAUUUGUUAGAAUUAAAAACAAAUCUUCUGCCUUAAAUUAAAAAUUUAUAUGUCUACUUUUUUUAAGAGCAAAGUCUUUUAUUGCACCGACUAUGUCUAUCGCAUCACACACCUCUUGCUCAAUAGAGAAAAUAGCCAAAUUAGUUAGUCUUAGAGUACUCACUGUCGAUCUUAAUAGUAUAUUAUGCAACGAGCAUUUAAUGAUGGUCAUUAUGAAGCGACUAUGAGGGUUACGAAACGAGCCGUAUACGAGUUUCGUAUAGAGUACGAGCUUCAUAAUGAUAAUUAAAUGCAAGUUGUAUACACUAUUUUUUCUAUGAUCAUUCACAACAAAAAAUAUAUUUAAAUUUAUUAAUUUUGUAACAUAAAUAAAUUCAGUAGUUUGUCAGUUUGACGGUUUGUUUACAUAUUGAGAAUAAUUGUCAAGGCGUAUGUAUUUGACUGCGCGUGUAUCACCUUUAUCGCGAAUGCCAUAUCGCGAUUGUAUUGGUUGACAAUCUGUAUCUUAAUGAAAAUCUGUAUCAUAAUGAAGUUCAUUAUGAUACAGGUAGUGACAUCAUAAUUGAUAUAUUAUAGUAACCGAAU